rnacentral:rRNA from 1 species
GACGAACGCUGGCGGCGUGCUUAACACAUGCAAGUCGAACGGAAAGGCCCUGCUUUUGUGGGGUGCUCGAGUGGCGAACGGGUGAGUAACACGUGAGUAACCUGCCCUUUACUUUGGGAUAACUUCAUGAAACUGGGGCUAAUACCGGAUAGGAGCUCCUGCUGCAUGGUGGGGGUUGGAAAGUUUCGGCGGUUGGGGAUGGACUCGCGGCUUAUCAGCUUGUUGGUGGGGUAGUGGCUUACCAAGGCUUUGACGGGUAGCCGGCCUGAGAGGGUGACCGGCCACAUUGGGACUGAGAUACGGCCCAGACUCAUACGGGAGGCAGCAGUGGGGAAUAUUGCAAAAUGGGCGGAAGCAUGAUGCAGGAACGCCGCGUGCGGGAUGACGGCCUUAGGGUUGUAAACCGCUUUCGCCUGUGAAGAAGAGUGAGUGACGGUAAUGGGUAAAGAAGCACCGGCUAACUACGUG